GACGAACGCUGGCGGCGUGCUUAACACAUGCAAGUCGAACGGAAAGGCCCUGCUUUUGUGGGGUGCUCGAGUGGCGAACGGGUGAGUAACACGUGAGUAACCUGCCCUUGACUUUGGGAUAACUUCAGGAAACUGGGGCUAAUACCGGAUAGGAGCUCCUGCUGCAUGGUGGGGGUUGGAAAGUUUCGGCGGUUGGGGAUGGACUCGCGGCUUAUCAGCUUGUUGGUGGGGUAGUGGCUUACCAAGGCUUUGACGGGUAGCCGGCCUGAGAGGGUGACCGGCCACAUUGGGACUGAGCUACGGCCCAGACUCCUACGGGCGGCAGCGGUGGGGAAUAUUGCACAAUGGGCGGAAGCCUGAUGCAGCAACGCCGCGUGCGGGAUGACGGCCUUCGGGUUGUAAACCGCUUUCGCCUGUGACGAAGCGUGAGUGACGGUAAUGGGUAAAGAAGCACCGGCUAACUACGUG
rnacentral:rRNA from 1 species